UUCUCUUGAGAGCGGCGGACGGGUGAGUAAUGCCUAGGAAUCUGCCUAGUGGUGGGGGAUAACGUUCGGAAACGGACGCUAAUACCGCAUACGUCCUACGGGAGAAAGCGGGGGACCUUCGGGCCUCGCGCCAUUAGAUGAGCCUAGGUCGGAUUAGCUAGUUGGUGAGGUAAUGGCUCACCAAGGCUACGAUCCGUAACUGGUCUGAGAGGAUGAUCAGUCACACUGGAACUGAGACACGGUCCAGACUCCUACGGGAGGCAGCAGUGGGGAAUAUUGGACAAUGGGCGAAAGCCUGAUCCAGCCAUGCCGCGUGUGUGAAGAAGGUCUUCGGAUUGUAAAGCACUUUAAGUUGGGAGGAAGGGUAGUAACUUAAUACGUUGCUACUUUGACGUUACCGA
rnacentral:rRNA from 1 species